AACAUUUUCACACAUCCAGUCUCCAGAAAGUGGUGUGAAGUCCCUGUGGGAGUCUGAAUUUUAAAACAACAGAGAUAUGCCUCAGCAGAGAUGCACCAAUGAAUUUAUCCUUGGUCGACUAUGAUUGGUGAACUGGUUGUGUCCUUCCUUUCAUGGAUAGUUGCGUGAAGAAAUCCAGAGGCAUAGCUAAAUGUUGAUAAACAUCGCCAGUCAUCAGAAGGAAAGGAUGACUAACCUACACGCCAGCUGACUUGGCUUGAGAUCAAGACAUGGGAGCUGGCUCGGAGCUCGUCUGCCUGGCUGUGUGUUUCCUGGACAGGGC